rnacentral:lncRNA from 1 species
UGGCAGAUAGUGUUGAUGCGUUAUAAACUUCCCUCCACAUUUAUCCUCAAAAUGUAUUGCAAUACAAUAUUCUAGACACAUUAUCAAAUGUAUAAGCAUGCCACAAGAAAUCUAUUUGCUUCCUGUGGCCUGGGAUUCUAAACUACUGGUAUAAAUUCAAAUCAGACAAAAUGUACUUUAGGCUUGACUUAAGCAAGCCAAUGCAUGCAACCUGAACAUAAGUUUUGUGCUCCGACUGUAGGUACACUUACACCACUUAUAAUGACUGUGCCAAAGUGUGUUUUUUCCUUUGUCUCACCAUAACAACCUACUUAGCUUUGCUGUCAACUCUAUCCUACUAGCUGCUGGCUCCAUGACAUCAAGAGAAAAUCUGGGAGAUUGCUUUGGUGAGGGAAGGAGUGGAAUUGAAGACAAUGAAGAGAAUAAUGGAGCACAGUCCCAUGCUGAUGUUUUCCAGUGGAGCAAUAUUUCUCACGCUGAGACUGAUAAGCGCCUUCAGAAGUUGGGCCUACACUUCUAA